GCAGCUACACCUCUUCAUUAAUUAUAAAAAAGCUACGUAUUUUUUUAAGGAAAAAACUUCUUAUAUUUUGUUUCUUAAAUUUAAAAUUAUUCAUUAAUUAUAAUUGAUUAUUAUAAAAUUUUAUAAUAAAUAAUAAAAUAUAAUAAAUGAAUAUAAGAAGAAAGGAAAAGAAACCCUAAUCAAAAUCACUUUUUCUCUAUCUCUUUUCUUCCGCCUCCCUCUCAUUUUCUCUGAAAUUCCUACGCCCUUGGCCUCCACCAGCAGUCCGAUCAUCCAGCCUUACAUCAUCCGAUUGGGCUCUACCACCGGUCGCAAGGGGUCUCAGAACCUCUUAAUCUUCUCUGGCCAUCUUCUCUGCCACCCGCUCAGCCCUUCUCUUUCUGUCUUGUCUCCGAUCAUCUGCUUUACAAGCUAAGCAACCCCACGACGAGCUUCUCCGACAUCAAAAUUAUAAAGUCAACACAAUUUAUCUCUCUAAUCUUUUUUUUUUCUUUCUUUCCUAAAGAUCUCUAGAAAAGAAAAGAGUCCUUCCAGAGAUUAGGUUUCCAAGUCCAAGACAUCGUGCCUUCCAAGUUCUAAAUUUGGUUUAAAUUAUUAUCAAAUUUCAUAUCAUGUACAAAUCUCUCAAUUGAGAAAUUAACUUGUAUAAAAAAGUCAGAUUGUAUUUCCUGUUUCGUAGGUUGUAAUUGAAAAUAAAUGAAUGAGAAAUUUCCUUUCAAUUCUUUUUCCUA